rnacentral:rRNA from 1 species
CAGCCGCCGCGGUAACACGUAGGUGGCAAGCGUUGUCCGGAAUUAUUGGGCGUAAAGGGCUCGCAGGCGGUUUCUUAAGUCUGAUGUGAAAGCCCCCGGCUCAACCGGGGAGGGUCAUUGGAAACUGGGAAACUUGAGUGCAGAAGAGGAGAGUGGAAUUCCACGUGUAGCGGUGAAAUGCGUAGAGAUGUGGAGGAACACCAGGGGCGAAGGCGACUCUCUGGUCUGUAACUGACGCUGAGGAGCGAAAGCGUGGGGAGCGAACAGGAUUAGAUACCCCCGUAGUCCCUGUCUCUUAUAC